AAAAUUUAAUCAAUUAUAACAAUUAAAAUUUCAUGGAGAUAUUUCUAGUCUAGUUUGAAACUAUUUGAAGAUUGUUUCGACUAUCUACAUUGAUGAUUGAUGAUAAAAAAGUAUUCCACUUUAUUCAAAGGUGAUACAACAAUUUCUAUGAAAUAUUUCGAAACUAUGUCAGCAGGAAAAUACAAAGUAGCGUAAUAGCUUGCUCUGGAGCCACAUGGUCUAGCAUAUAGCGGUUCAAGAUCAGCAAUUGUUGCAUAACUACCAGAGUUAGCACUUCCUGGUCUCUGGUCAACCCUCACGAGUACUGAACUUCCUGUAAGACCACCAGUACCAGCUGCUGAAUAACUACAAUAUGUUCCAGUGAGGAUAAGUUGAUGAGAUUUUUGAUGCUCCGUGUACUAUCUGGGUGAAAAACUGAGUACUUAACAGAGGUAAGCCACUCUUAGUUCAAUUCCAACCCUCUUUGAAAGAAGGAAGGAAAUAAUCGUGAGUUACUCUGGCAAAUUAUCUUACGAGAGCCUUCAGGCCAAGCUUCUUCCGCUGAAAAUUAUUAUCAUUUUUUAAAUUUACUUCAAUAUUAAAUCAACUUUUAUAUAAACAUAAAAAAAUAUACAGCUUUUUAAAAAAACCCAACUAGACGUUUGAAUGAAUUAAAUAUAUUAUUAUAUUUUGAAUUCAAAUUUAAAUUAAAAUCCAAUUAUUUAUGCUUCUAAUGAGUCGCUUCAAUACAAACUAGACGUGUGAGUAUAAAAUUAAAAUAAAACUUCAUGUAGCGUGUGAAUGAAAUACAAUGAAUCUUUUAAUUUAACCCCUUGUUGACAGAAAAAAAA